CACGGGUGAGUAACACGUGAGUAACCUGCCCUUGGCUCUGGGAUAAGCCCGGGAAACUGGGUCUAAUACCGGAUAUGACACACUCCCGCAUGGGAUGUUGUGGAAAGUUUUUCGGCUGGGGAUGGGCUCGCGGUCUAUCAGCUUGUUGGUGGGGUGAUGGCCUACCAAGGCGACGACGGGUAGCCGGCCUGAGAGGGUGACCGGCCACACUGGGACUGAGACACGGCCCAGACUCCUACNNNNNNCAGCAGUGGGGAAUAUUGCGCAAUGGGCGGAA
rnacentral:rRNA from 1 species